rnacentral:rRNA from 1 species
GACGAACGCUGGCGGCGUGCUUAACACAUGCAAGUCGAACGAUGAUCUCCCGCUUGCGGGGGUGAUUAGUGGCGGACGGGUGAGUAAUACGUGAGUAACCUGCCCUUGACUCUGGGAUAAGCCUGGGAAACCGGGUCUAAUACUGGAUACUACUUCCUGCCGCAUGGUGGGGGGUGGAAAGGGUUUUACUGGUUUUGGGUGGGCUCACGGCCUAUCAGCUUGUUGGUGGAGUAAUGGCUCACCAAGGCGACGACGGGUAGCCGGCCAGUGAGGGUGAGCGGCCGCACUGGGACUGAGGGACGGCACAGACAGCGACGGGAGGGAGAAGGGGGGAAUAUUGAACAAGGGGCGCAAGCCGGAUGAAGCGACGCUGCGGGAGGGAAAACGGUGUUCGCGGUGAAGACCUCUUUCAGCAGGAAAGAGGCCACAAGUGACGGUACCUGCAGAAGAAGCGCCGGCUAACUACGUG